GACGAACGCUGGCGGCGUGCUUAACACAUGCAAGUCGCGCGGAGCGGCGAACGGGUGAGUAACGCGUGAGUAACUGCCCCCCUCUCUGGGAUAACAGAUGGAAACGGCUGCUAAUACCGGAUAGUGGGGGAUGACUCGCGUCCUAUCAGAUUGUUGGUGGGGUGGUGGCCUACCAAGGCGACGCAGGGUAGCCGGCCUGGGAGGGCGACCGGCCACUUUGGGCUGAGGUACGGCCCAAACUGCUACUGGAGGCAGCAGUGGGGAAUAUUGCACAAUUGGGGAAACCCUGAUGCAGCACCGCCGCGUGCGGGAUGACGGCCUUCGGGUUGUAAACCGCUUUCAGCCAUGACGCGGUAGUGGCAGAAGAAGCACCGGCUAACUACGUGCCAGCAGCCGCGGUAAUAC
rnacentral:rRNA from 1 species